AUUGAACGCUGGCGGAAGGAGGUACACAGGAAAGUCGGACGGAAGCACAGAGAAGCUUGCUUCUUGGGUGGCGAGUGGCGAACGGGUGAGUAAUAUAUCGGAAAGUACCGAGUAAUGGGGGAUAACUAAUCGAAAGAUUAGCUAAUACCGCAUAUUCUCUGAGGAGGAAAGCAGGGGACCUUCGGGCCUUGCGUUAUUCGAGCGGCCGAUAUCUGAUUAGCUAGUUGGUGGGGUAAAGGCCUACCAAGGCGACGAUCAGUAGCGGGUCUGAGAGGAUGAUCCGCCACACUGGGACUGAGACACGGCCCAGACUCCUACGGGAGGCAGCAGUGGGGAAUUUUGGACAAUGGGCGAAAGCAUGAUCCAGCCAUGCCGCGUGUCUGAAGAAGGACUUCGGGUUGUAAAUGACUUUUGUCAGGGAAGAAAAGGCGGUUGCUAAUACCGACAGCUGAUGACGGUACCUGAAGAAUAAGCACCGGCUAACUACGUC
rnacentral:rRNA from 1 species